rnacentral:tmRNA from 1 species
GGGGGCGGUUUGGUUUCGACUUGGGAAGUGAAGUAUAAGGAGCAUGCGGAGGUUGUCAGGUGGCCUCCUAAAAAACCUGGCAUGAUAAUAAACGCAAACGAUUAUUCGUAUGCGAUGGCUGCUUAAAUAAAGCAGCUGCGCGCCUCGUGCUUUUGCCUGUGGAGCGUGUGUGCGCGAACGGUCAGCAGGCUAGCUCUUCUGUUGUCUCCGGGCAGGAGGGUGAACCUUUUUACAGGAGAUGGCAGCUGCCGGAUCCCGUCCUCAGGAGCCGGCAGAGGCAAGAUAGAAAAUGUGGACUAAGCAUGUAGGGCCUUAUAUAGGAUCUUCCUGGGGACCUGGGUUCGACUCCCAGCGCCUCCAAAA